rnacentral:tRNA from 1 species
GGAGAGGUGCCGGAGUGGCCGAACGGGACGGUCUCGAAAACCGUUGACCUCACGGGGUCCGAGGGUUCGAAUCCCUCCCUCUCCGCCA